rnacentral:rRNA from 1 species
ACGCUAGCGGUAUGUCCCACAUGUUAUCGUACGGAAAAGAAAUUUCUAGUGGCGAACGGGUGAGUAACACGUGAAUGCCUUUAGGAAGAGGAUAACUAUUAGAAAUAAUUGCUAAAACUCUAUAUGCCUUACGGUGAAAAAAGAAAUUUGCCUAAAGAGAAGCUCGCGUCUGAUUAGCUAGUUGGUGGGGUAAAGGCCUACCAAGGCGACGAUCAGUAGCUGGUCUGAGAGGAUGAUCAGCCACACUGGAACUGGGACACGGUCCAGGCUCCUACGGGAGGCAGCAGUGAGGAAUUUUCUGCAAUGGGCGAAAGCCUGACAGAGCAAUACCGCGUGAGGGAUGACGGCCUAUGGGUUGUAAACCUCUUUUCUCAAGGAGGAAAAUUUGA